rnacentral:tRNA from 2 species
CCUUUAGCUCAGUUGGUAGAGCAAAUGACUCUUAAUCAUUGGGCCCAGGGUUCGAGUCCCUGAAGG